GUCCCUGUAGCGGAAGGGAUAUUGCGUUGGACUUUUAAUUCAAAGGUCGUGGGUUGUUCGAAUCCCACCUGGGAUA